UACAGGGGGGGCAAGCGUUGUUCGGAAUUACUGGGCGUAAAGGCUCGUAGGCGGCCAACUAAGUCCGACGUGAAAUCCCAAAGCUUAACUUUGGAACUGCGUCGGAUACUGGAUGGCUUGAAUUCGGGAGAGGGAUGCAGAAUUCCAGGUGUAGCGGUGAAAUGCGUAGAUAUCUGGAGGAAUACCGGUGGCGAAGGCGGCAUCCUGGACCGACAUUGACGCUGAGGAGCGAAAGCUGAGGGGAG
rnacentral:rRNA from 1 species